rnacentral:rRNA from 1 species
UAGGUGGCAAGCGUUGUCCGGAUUUAUUGGGUUUAAAGGGUGCGUAGGCGGCCCCGUAAGUCAGUGCUGAAAUAUCCCGGCUUAACCGGGAGGGUGGCAUUGAUACUGCAGGGCUUGAGUAAAGUUGAGGUAGGCGGAAUUGACGGUGUAGCGGUGAAAUGCUUAGAUAUCGUCAAGAACACCGAUAGUGUAGACAGCUUACUAAGCUUUAACUGACGCUGAGGCACGAAAGUGUGGGGAUCAAACAGG